UCCCUGUUCACUUUUCCUGAAGAUUAUCCUCCGCAUACCAGCACUGCUGAAACUCAAUGCAAGCAAGAAGCAGCUUCUCAUCUGGAUCCAGUGCACUGGAUAUUCCACAUUUUAUUUGAUAUAGCAUCAUUUUCAUAACCUGCUAGCAUUGAGCAACUGCCUGUGUAAGAAGUGCACGCAGGAUGAAACAAGCUGACCAUCAUCUGUAUCGCUCCAUCACUUAAAGGCUUGAAUAUUUGGUCUCAAGUCACCACCACAAUGCAGUUUGUGCUUGAUGGCUUCUUAACACAGAGAUUUGACAUGACCUACGUGGAAGACUUCAAAUUUGAGGAAUGUCAGAAGCCCAUUCUAACUCCCAGAGGCUGUAAGAGUGUGCAGGAGAUUAAGAUUCCUCAUGUAGAUUUAUAGGUGGUGAAGGGACAGGUGUUGCUGGUAUCCAACCGUUUGUACAACAGUGUGGUUCUGAUGGGAAACACUAUGAAGUGCCCCCCAACCUCCAGACGGCCAGCAAAGAGCUGGAGGUUGAGGAACUUUGGGUGUUGUGUGCUGCCCUGCCUGAAGUGCCCUGCUGUGCUGUAGCCUUAAGCUCUCCCUCAUGCUCCUUCAUUCUCUGCCAAACAAGUAAACUCUCUCUUUCUCAUCUCAUCUGUAAAGCCAGGCAUUUCAAAGUUGCAUGUAAUUAUCUGACCUCCCAGAUGAGCGUAUUCAUUUGCGUGACCUGUAAUUGACCUUUGACCAUUAGACCUCACUCUAUUCCUUCACAGACCAGAGCUUGCCGAUGUCCCUGAGCGAGUCAUGUCAGCCUCUUCUGUAUCCCCCUGAUGGAGGCUGAAGGAGUCCUGGCCUUCCCACUGCUGCCUUUUUCUGCCACAGUAGACCUGAGCAGCCUAAACCCCAAGCUGCUAAAGGAGGGGCAGCAUGUGGUCAUCGUUGGAGAGGUCCUGAUACUACACAUCAGUGAGAUACUGGAAGAGGACAUUUCAGCUGUUUCACGAGACUCUAUUAGGACCAGAUGGCCAGAAGCAGCACUGCCCAGUCAAGUCCUUAAACUGCCUGACUGGUUCUGGGAAUUUAUGGCCCGAGGUGUCCCACCCUACUCUGAUGCGAAUUCACCAUCAAGGCCAUAGACGGCUGCUGCCAGAGUUCUGCCCUGAUGCCUUCUACAACGUGAUGUUUGAGUGUUGGCACCCCAAACCUGACCGAAGGCCCACCUGAGCUUGUCUCCCGCAUCUCUGCUGUUUUCUCCAGCUUCAGCAGUGAGCACUACAUCCUCCUGAACACCACCUAUGUCAACAUUGACAAAAUGACACCCUACCCCUCUCUCAUCCCCUCUCAGAGCCAGCUGGACCGGGACUGCUGCACCUGAGAGAGGACGAGAGAGAUAGGGAGGAAAGCAGAAGGACAUAAAGAGCAAGACAGAGAAAGAAAGAGACUGUUUGAUUACUCUGAAUCUGCUGAGUAAGACUGACAGACACUGGACCGAGUGCCAGGGAACAUUUGCACUUCUCUAUGGAGAAAAAGCUGCCCCAGGUCACUGCUGAAGUCAGUAAAGGGAAGCUGAUUGUCUUUAUCACUGUAGAUAGACUACGGUCUAUUUGAAGCAGGCAGGACGCACGCUGACAGACGUGGACUGACUCUACUGGACUCCUGACUGAACGAGCCAUCAGCUCUUUCACAGCUCACACUGAUAGAAGAGGAAAGCACAGACCAAAACCGUAAAACCCAUCAAAUUCACUCUCACUGUGACUAGUAUUCUUACAUACAUUCUUUUAAAAAAAGGUGCCACAAAGGGUUCUCUGAGCAAUGCCAUAGAAGAACCACUUGGGGUUCCCUAAAGAACCCAAAGAUGUUCCCAUGUUUGAAUAAGAUAUGUGCGGGUAUGAAGUAUCUAUUCAAGGCUUAAAGAACCUUUGCAUAAUAUAAAAGGUUUUGUAUGUAUAUUUUAGGGUUCUUCUGAGGAAAGUCGGCCCUCAUUCAUCAAAUAGGUGUUUGGCCAAUUCUGAUUUCAGUUUUGUUAUUUAUCAAUUAUCUUAAAUUAUUAAUAAAGUGUUUAUUUUUACAUAAAUGGCUGCAUCAAUAAAGCCUGGGAUCAAUAAAGGAAUCUGAAUCUGAAUCUGAAUCUGAAUCUGAAUCUGAAUCUGAAUGUCAUCUUUGGCGUAUCUGAAUGGCCAAACUCAGUUCUGGUAGGAAUGUGUGGGCUAUUGACCAUAAUAGGAAAAAAUGAUUUAUAUGCAGUUAACUAAUCAAAACAGUCUUUGAUUUCAGUAAUAAGAACAAAAACAUAAAAUAACAAUGCUGAAUAAUUAUAAUGCCAUAUAAUCUUUUGUGUGCAUGACAAUCUGUAGUACAAAAGUGCAUGUAUUUAUUUUACAUGCAGAUUGGUAUAAACAAAUGCUG